rnacentral:rRNA from 1 species
UACGUAGGGGGCUAGCGUUGUCCGGAAUCAUUGGGCGUAAAGAGCGUGUAGGCGGUCCGGUAAGUCCGCUGUGAAAGUCGGGGGCUCAACCUCGAGACGCCGGUGGAAACCGUAAGGCUAGAGUCCGGAAGAGGAGAGUGGAAUUCCUGGUGUAGCGGUGAAAUGCGCAGAUAUCAGGAGGAACACCCGUGGCGAAAGCGGCUCUCUGGGACGGUACUGACGCUGAGACGCGAAAGCGUGGGGAGCAAACAGG